GAAAUAUGAAGAUUCAAAAAAAAGCUUCUAACUUUUUAUUUAAACGAUUUAAUUUCGUUUAUAUUUCU
rnacentral:tRNA from 1 species